GUACACACCGCCCGUCAAGCCACGAAAGUUGGGGGGGCCCGAAGUCGCGAUGCUAACCGCAAGGGGGCUAGCGCCUAAGGUCAACUCGAUGAUUGGGACUAAGUCGUAACAAGGUAGCCGUAGGUGAACCUGCAGAAGGAUCA
rnacentral:rRNA from 1 species